AACGAACGCUGGCGGCAUGCCUAACACAUGCAAGUCGAACGAGACCUUCGGGUCUAGUGGCGCACGGGUGCGUAACGCGUGGGAACCUGCCCUUAGGUUCGGAAUAACUCCCCGAAAGGGGUGCUAAUACCGGAUAAUGUCUUCGGACCAAAGAUUUAUCGCCUUUGGAUGGGCCCGCGUUGGAUUAGCUAGUUGGUAGGGUAAAAGCCUACCAAGGCGACGAUCCAUAGCUGGUCUGAGAGGAUGAUCAGCCACACUGGGACUGAGACACGGCCCAGACUCCUCCGGAAGGCGGCAGUGGGGAAUAUUGGACAAUGGGCGAAGGCCUGAUCCAGCAAUGCCGCGUGAGUGAUGAAGGCCUUAGGGUUGUAAAGCUCUUUUACCCGGGAUGAUAAUGACGGUACCGGGAGAAUAAGCUCCGGCUACCUCCGU
rnacentral:rRNA from 1 species